rnacentral:piRNA from 1 species
UGGCUGGACCUAGUGUAGAGAGGGACCUCC